rnacentral:rRNA from 1 species
GACGAACGCUGGCGGCGUGCCUAAUACAUGCAAGUUGAGCGAUGAAGAUUGGUGCUUGCACCAAUUUGAAGAGCAGCGAACGGGUGAGUAACGCGUGGGGAAUCUGCCUUUGAGCGGGGGACAACAUUUGGAAACGAAUGCUAAUACCGCAUAACAACUUUAAACAUAAGUUUUAAGUUUGAAAGAUGCAAUUGCAUCACUCAAAGAUGAUCCCGCGUUGUAUUAGCUAGUUGGUGAGGUAAAGGCUCACCAAGGCGAUGAUACAUAGCCGACCUGAGAGGGUGAUCGGCCACAUUGGGACUGAGACACGGCCCAAACUCCUACGGGAGGCAGCAGUAGGGAAUCUUCGGGAAUGGACGAGAGUCUGACCGAGCAACGCCGCGUGAGUGAAGAAGGGUUUCGGAUCGUAAAACUCUGUUGGUAGAGAAGAACGUUGGUGGGAGUGGAAAGCUCAUCAAGUGACGGUAACUACCCAGAAAGGGACGGCUAACUACGUG